rnacentral:lncRNA from 10 species
GGGAAGAAGAACUCAGGCUACAGCUGUGGAACGUGUGUUUCUUCCAACCAGUGAAGACCGGACGCCAUUCCUUCAUGCUACUGGGUUCUUGCAGCUGUAAUUUACAACACAGCUGUCAUAUCUGUGACAUCUGGGCCAGCUCCUCUGUGCCCAACCUCAGCCCUGUUCAGUUUGCCCCUGUACCCCCAAUUCUCCCCAGUAGCCAUCCCUGAACUGCACUUUCUAACUGCGGGAUUGCCCUUGAGUUGGGCUGCUGGAUCCUCCCUCACCCUUGCCUGACGCAGGAAGACAGUCAUCCUCACAGAAGACGAAGUUCAGUUCCACAGCUCGGCCUCAGAUCACAAGGGCGUGAGGAUUAAAGAGAGGAUACCACAGUCGGCCUCAGUAAUGGAUUUGAGGAGCAGUGCCCGCCUCCUUCACCCCAUCGCUGUCUGUGAGGUGUGUUCACGCUGCUCGCCAGAGGCCCCAGUGGGACUCCCUGCAGCUGCUCCUCUGGGAACCAGCAAUUCCAGAUUCCUUGAGAUGGAGACCAGGUCUCAAGAGCAGUGCACAGUUUGAAGCACGUGGCAGAUUCUCAAGCAAAAAGAGGAGUUGAAGAUGGAACCAUUGUGAUGGGAAGCUCUGAUUCAUCAAUCGUGAACCACAGCACUCCUCACUUACUCCAUUGUUGACCAAUUUUAACAAGUGGUACGGUUUUCAAAAGCAAGAAGUGGAAGAGCAGGCAUUAAUUCUAAGCCCGGAAAGUGGGAGCAGGAAUUCCAGCACUUUGAGAGGCCAAGGCGGGAAGAUCACCUGAUGUCAGGAGUUCAAGAGCAGCCUGGCCAACGUGGCAAAACCCCAUCUCCACUGAAAAUACAAAAAUUAGCCAGGCGUAGCAGUGCAGGCCUGUAAUCCCAGCUACUUAGGAGGCUGAGGCACAAGAAUUGAUUGAACCUAAGAGGUGGAGGUUGCAGUGAGCCGAGAUCAUGCCACUGCACUCCAGCUUGGGUGACAGAGCAAAACUCAGUCUCAAAAAAAAAGAAUUCCAAAUCAUGAGAAUGAUGACUUGAAAUCGUUGUUCUUGUUCUGCAUCUUUUGUUUAUUUGUUUGUUUUUGUUUUGUUUUGUUGUUCAGUAAAAUGGCAUGGAAUUUUAUUUUAAGUGCUGUGAUACAUGUGCAGGAUGUGCAGGUUUGUUACAUAGGUAAACGUGUGCCCUGAUGGUUUGCCGCACCUAUCAACCCAUCAUCUAGGUAUUAAGACCCACAUGCAUUAGCUAUUUAUCUUGAUGCUUUCCCUUCCCCUACCCGACCUCCUGACAGGCCCCAGUGUGUGUUGUUCUCCUCCCUGUGUCUAUGUGUUCUCACUUUCAGCUCCCAUUUAUAAGUGAGAAGAUGCGGUGUUCGGUUUUCUGUUCCUGUGUUAGUUUGCUGAGGAUAACGGCUUCCAGUUUCAUCCAUUUCCCUGCAAAGAACAUGAUCUUGUUUCUUUUUAUGGCUGCAUAAUAUUCCAUGAUGUACAUGUACCACAUUGUCUUUAUUCAGUCUAUCAUUGAUGGGCAUUUGUGUUGAUUCCAUGUCUUUGCUAUUAUGAAUAGUGCUUCAAUAAACAUACGUG